rnacentral:snRNA from 1 species
UCCUGCAUCUGCAAAACCUUAU